CUGUGUCAGAAAUACUUUAUUUAUGAGUAAACAUGCAUAUGACGUUAGAAGUGUGAUUCUCGAUUUCUACGUGUAAUGCCUUAAUUGACGAAAGGAGACGUUUGAUUUGAUUGCAUCUAUCAUUUUAUUUCAGUGUGCCAGUGAAGAGGAGUCGAUUUAUGCGAAAGGUGGGGCAAUAUUGCAUGCUUUGUUCACACGCAUCCUCCACUUGACUGCCAUCUGGCGGUCGUAAUCAUUCGGCACGACUCGGAAUGAUUCGGAAGUUGCCUUCGAUCGAAGCAUAGCCUAGCCCUAGUGCGUACUGCGUAGCGUACGAAGAAUCAAUGAACCGUUGGAGCUUGGAAUCGUCACGACUCGGAAACACGCAAUUGUUCUUACGAUUCUUUUGCACGACGAUUCGUCCGUAUCACGAUUCGAUUCUUACGAUUCUUUAUUUAGAGUCGUUCAAAUGAACGACUCAUUCACGAAUAACCACAACUCUAGUCAGCAGGGGGUAACGAGACAUCGUUACCUUGACAUUCAAAGGGUUAAGGGCCUUUUUUGUGUUAUAUUAUAUGCAGUGUUGCAGACUUCACUAUUCAACAUGUCACAAAGACUUUAACUCAUUUGUGUGACUUUGUUGCAAAUUUGUUGGAGUGUUGUAGAACCUUCGUUUUUCUAUCCUGUUAUCUGCCCCUGGAGCAUUGCCUUUGACGAAAACGCAGAAGACUGGACAGUGUAUGCUGCACAAUUUGGGGCCAACCUAGCAGCCCACUACAAAUCAGAUUCCUGGUCAAUGCAACCCAAGCGCCAUCCUUCACAGUGGGGUCACGCAAUGCUGUUUUCGGACCUCGAGCUGGUGGACAUCAAUCCGAUGCCGCAUCCGCCCACUAGCAGAUGUCCGGCAGCACCUGCCAUGUCACCACUACUGGGUAACCACCACGCUGAGGCCUCCCGAGGGGCCUCCAGUUAGACAGAUGCUGUUGCGGAUUCACAUCAUCAAGAAGAUGCCCUGCCAAUGGGUGCCGGGAUGCACUUCCUGCGUUGUUUUUCUGCCGGUGUUUCACCAGCACCACAGGCAGCAUUGAGGCUGAAGAUAUCAAAUUUGCCUCGGCCAUUUGCCAGCUGAGUAGAAUCCGCCAAUGACCGAACAACAACAGACAGAAAGCUACUCAGAAGACAGAAGAGCAGUUCUCGCCCACUUGGUUAUAGAUCCUCGUCCAGAGCUGACUUAGACAGGGACCGUUGUUUAGUGAACACUUAGAAAUCAACAGACAGUUGUAAUUUGCAUUUGCUAUUACUGUGAAGCUUAUAUACUAUUAUUUGCAUUUAGCCAUUGAGGGCCUUUUUUUCUGUUAUAUUACAUAUAGUGUGGCAGACUUCAUUAUUCAACAAAUCACAAAAAUAAAUAAACCUUUUUAACUAA